rnacentral:rRNA from 1 species
AUGGAUACUGCUCCGCCGCCGGCCGGAAACAGUACGACGGAGCAGCGAACAGAAUACUUCAAAUUCUUAUGGAAGUGGCGCAAAUACCUGCUGCUGCUCGCCAUGCUGGUUGCCAGCGUCACCUACGCGGCCGGUCUCAACCCACCGGGCGGCGUUAGGUCCGACGAGGAGCCGGCGCUGUCGGCGGCCCGCCAGAAACGCAUCGGCGACCCGGUUCUCCUGGCCACCAGCCCGCGUCGGUAUGCCGCCUUCUUCUACUGCAACGCCGCCGCCUUUGUCACGUCCCUUGUCGUCAUCAUGUUCCUGCUGGACCGGCGCAUCAGCGGCAACCGCGUUGGCCUCGCCGUGCUCAGCUCUGCCAUGCUGCUCGACCUGCUCGCCCUCGUGGCUGCCUUCAUCGCUGGGAGCUGCCGCAACGUGGUCGCGUCCAUCUACGUCUCGGCGCUGUUCGCCCUCGUCUUCGCCAUCCUCUGCGUGUACAAAGACCGGAGGAAGGCGGCGGUCAGGACAAGCGUGGACAAGUUCCUGAUGCUGCUCUCCACCUUCGCGACGCCGCUGACCUACGGCGCGGGGUUGUCUCCGCCGGGAGGCUUCUGGAGCCAGACCGAGGCCGGGCAUCGCGCGGGCGCCCCGCUGCUGCAUGACGGGCCCUACAAGAUCCGCUACAAUGUCUUCUUCUACGCCAACGCCAACUCAUUCGUGGCGUCCCUCGCCAUCAUCAUGCUGGUCAUGAGCAGGACGGCCAGCGGCAGCAUCAUCCGGUCGUAUCUGUUGUCGGUGUGCCUUCUGGUGGAGCUGCUUGGCCUACCAGCUGCCUUCGCCGCCGGUAGCUCCACGAGGGUCGACACCACCAUGUACGUCGUCUGCCUCGCGGCUGCGGCGCUCCUCAUGAUUGUGCUGCAGGUGGCGGCCAUGUUCCUGCGUACCAGGAUGCUCAUGUGCAACACUUCGCCAGGACAACCAGACGCAAACGGGAUUCGGGCUAAUGGUCAGGAAGAAGACGGAGACGAAGAAGAUGUCAUCCGUGUGGAGAGGACAAACAACAUCGAAAAUGGGCAGGUAGGCCACAUGGUGGAGUCGCGGUCAAUUCUGCUGCUGCUGGCAACGCUCGCAGCGACGGUGACGUACCAGGCAGGGUUGAGCCCGCCCGGCGGCGUCUGGCCGCAUAACAACGACCAAGGGCAUCCAGAUCACAUCCCCGGGAACCCGAUCCUCCUCGACAUUCACCCCAAGAGGUACAAGGCGUUCUACUACUGCAACACGGCGGCGUUUGUGGCGUCGCUGGUUGUCAUCGUCAUCGUCCAGAGCAACGAGCUGAGCUCGGGCACCACCAUCAGGCGGGUCACGCUCAAGACGGCCAUCAUACUGGGUCUGUACGGCCUCAUGGGUGCCCAAGUCGCCGGGAGCUCCCCGGAUGCCCCCACCACCAUCCAGUGGCGGAGCCAGCUAUCUGGCAAGGCCUGGCAGCUGCCACACCUAAAUUUGAACCAAAUGUACUAA